GCGCCCGUAGCUCAAUUGGAUAGAGCAUCUGACUUCGGAUCAGAAGGUUGGGGGUUCGAGCCCCUCCGGGCGCG
rnacentral:tRNA from 1 species